GACGAACCGUGCGAACGUUGUUCGGAAUCACUGGGCUUAAAGGGCGCGUAGGCGGACCUCCAAGUCCGGGGUGAAAUCUUUCGGCUUAACCGGAAAAGUGCCUUGGAUACUGGGGGUCUCGAGGGAGGCAGGGGCGGAUGGAACUUCCGGUGGAGCGGUGAAAUGCGCAGAUAUCAGGAGGAACACCAGCGGCGAAGGCGGUGCUCUGGGCCGGAACUGACGCUGAGGAGCGAAAGCGUGGGGAGCGAACAGG
rnacentral:rRNA from 1 species